rnacentral:rRNA from 1 species
AUUACGGAGAGUUUGAUUCUGGCUCAGAACGAACGCUGGCAGCGUGGAUUAGGCAUGCAAGUCGAACGAGAAUUCGUGCCUUCAAGCCGCAAGGUGAGAAGGCGCGGAGGAGAGUGGCGAAAGGGUGAGGAACGCGUGGGCAAUCUAUCUCAAAGUUGAGUAUAACCCGUCGAAAGGUGGGCUAAUACUGAAUGUGAUCGUCCCGGGCAUCC